rnacentral:rRNA from 1 species
CCUACGGGUGGCAGCAGUGGGGAAUAUUGCGCAAUGGGCGAAAGCCUGACGCAGCGACGCCGCGUGAGGGAUGGAGGUCUUCGGAUCGUAAACCUCUGUCAGCAGGGAAGAACGGUCACUGUGCUAAUCAGCAGUGAAUUGACGGUACCUGCAAAGGAAGCACCGGCUAACUCCGUGCCAGCAGCCACGGUAAUAAGGGGGGUGCGAGCGUUAAUCGGAAUUACUGGGCUUAAAGCGCUCGUAGGCGGUAUGUCAAGUCAAGGGUGAAAUCCCCGCGCUCAACGUGGGAACUGCCUUUGAAACGGGCAAACUGGCGUGUGGGAGAGGAUAGUGGAAUUACAGGUGUAGGAGUGAAAUCAGUAGAUAUCUGGAGGAACAUCAGUGGCGAAGGCGACUAUCUGGCACAUAACUGACGCUGAGGAGCGAAAGCGUGGGUAGCAAACAGGAUUAGAUACCCGAGUAGUC